UAAGUCACUUUGUCUUUAUGCCAAAUGUGAGAUGCAGUGUAUGGAACGUCUAUUAUCUAGUAUGAGAAAUUAAUGAUUUAAGUCCUUCUUAAAUGAGGCCAAUUACCCAUAGAGGGUGCCAGGCCCGUAUAACAUUAAUGAUUACUAGAAGAUGUUUCCAAAGAGUCGUGUUGCUUGAUAGUGCAGCACUAAGUUGGUGGUAAACUCCAUCUAAAACUAAAUAUAACCAUGAGACCGAUAGUAAACAAGUACCGUGAGGGAAAGUUGAAAAGAACUCUGAAUAGAGAGUUAAAUAGUACGUGAAACUGCUUAGAGGUUAAGCCCGAUGAACCUGAAUAUCCAUUAUGGAAAAUUCAUCAUUAUAUCUAUAAUAUUAAUAAUAUUAUUGAAAUAGUGUGCAUUUUUUCCAUAUAAGGACAUUGUAAUCUAUUAACAUAUAUAUAUUUAUCAAAAGAUCAUUUGCUUAAGUUUAUUCAAAUUAUUAUACAUUUGUAUUUUAACAUAGAAUAAAUGCAUAUGAUUUGAUAAAGUGUUGAUAGAUUUAUUUAUAUAUAGUGCUUAAAUUCUUUUGAAUUUUACAAUGGCAUAAUUAUCUUAUGAUUUUUAUGUUUAUUGUAUGCGCUUAUAUGAUUAACAAUGCGAUAGAUUCAGGAUACCUUCGGGACCCGUCUUGAAACACGGACCAAGGAGUCUAACAUAUGUGCAAGUCAUUGGGAUUAUUUAUAUAAACCCAAAGGCAUAAUUAACUUAACUGUUUAUAAUGGGAUUAGUUUUUAGUCUAUUUUUAUAGUCUAUUAAUUCAAUCCCGGGGCGUUCUAUACAGUUAUGUAUAAUAAUAUUUAUAUUAUUUAUACCUCUAACUAGAGCGUACCUUGAGCAUAUAUGCUGUGACCCGAAAGAUGGUGAACUAUACUUGAUCAGGUUGAAGUCAGGGGAAACCCUG
rnacentral:rRNA from 1 species